rnacentral:rRNA from 1 species
GACGAACGCUGGCGGCGUGCUUAACACAUGCAAGUCGAACGGAAAGGCCCUGCUUUUGUGGGGUGCUCGAGUGGCGAACGGGUGAGUAACACGUGAGUAACCUGCCCUUGACUUUGGGAUAACUUCAGGAAACUGGGGCUAAUACCGGAUAGGAGCUCCUGCUGCAUGGUGGGGGUUGGAAAGUUACGGAGGUUGGGGAUGGACUCGCGGCUUAUCAGCUUGUUGGUGGAGUAGUGGCUUUCCAAGGGUUUGACGGGUAGCCGGCCUGAGAGGGUGACCGGCCACAUUAGGACUGAGUUAGGGCCCAGAGGCCUACGGGCGGCAGCAGUGGGGAAUAUUGCACAAUGAGCGGAAGCCUGAUGCAGCAACGCCGCGUGCGGGAUGACGGCCUUCGGGUUGUAAACAGCUGUCGCCUGUGACGAAGCGUGAGUGACGGUAAUGGGUAAAGAAGCACCGGCUAACUACGUG